GAGAGUGGGUAGUCCGCACGAGCGCAACCUUACUUUUAGUUGCCAUCAUUUAGUUGGGCACUCUGAAAGAACUGCCAGUGAUAAGCUGGAGGAAGGUGGGGAUGACGUCAAGUCCUCAUGGCCCUUACGUGUUGGGCUACACACGUGCUACAAUGGUAUCUACAACAGGAAGCAAAACAGCGAUGUUAAGCAAAUCCCGAAAAGAUACCUCAGUUCGGAUUGCACUCUGCAACUCGAGUGCAUGAAGCUGGAAUUACUAGUAAUCGUGGAUCAGCGUGCCACGGUGAAUACGUUCCCGGGUCUUGUACACACCGCCCGUCACACCAUGGGAGUUGGUUCUACCUUAAGGCAAAGCUUAAAACCUUUGACCACGGUAUAGUCAGCGACUGGGGUGAAGUCGUAACAAGGUAGCCGUAGGGGAACCUGCGGCUGGAUUACCUCCUUUCU
rnacentral:rRNA from 1 species